rnacentral:rRNA from 1 species
UACGGAGGGUGCAAGCGUUAUCCGGAAUCACUGGGUUUAAAGGGUGCGUAGGCGGUCAUGUAAGUCAGGGGUGAAAGCCCGGCGCUCAACGUCGGAAUUGCCUUUGAUACUGCGUGACUUGAAUCAGGUUGAGGUGGGCGGAAUGUGACAUGUAGCGGUGAAAUGCAUAGAUAUGUCAUAGAACACCAAUUGCGAAGGCAGCUCACUGGCCCUGAAUUGACGCUGAGGCACGAAAGCGUGGGGAUCAAACAGG